UCUUAUUUUCACAUUCUCUUUCUCUCUUCGUUUCUCAUCUCGUUGCCUCCACAGAAGAUCUCAGAAAUUCAUCAAAGAGAUUUCUCGAUCUGUUAUUUCAAUCGUAAGUUUCAAAUCAGUUAGUGUUACAACAUUCUCGAUCUGUUAUUUCAAUCGGUUUUAUUUGUGGAAGAGCUGAAGAACUUUGAAGGGUUUGAAAGAGUGAAGAACUUUGAAAAACUCCAUAGAACUGAAGUUGAAGGUGUUCAUUCAAUGUUGAUGUGAAUUGUUCAACUUUGCGAAUUAACUUGAAUAGAUUUCCCUAUCUGAAGUGACCUAGGGAUUUCAUUUAGAACUGAUUUUGAGUUUCAUAUUACUACGAUAUAAUGGUGUUGAGAAUUUGAGAAGGAUUUGAUAUCAUGAAUCUACAAAUCAUCAUGGAACUUGGACUCUAGAGGAAAGUUAGAUGGAACGAAUUGAGCAUGCUACGUCAGAUUUUUCUUGUUUUAGCUUAUUGAUUUGGAUAAGUUAGCUGAAGCAGCAGUAGCCAGCCGGGGAAAUAACAAUCCCUGGUAAGUACUUCACUUGGUUAUAUUUGUACUAGAAAGUUUAAAUUUGUGGAUUUUGACCUUCAAUUUAUACUUGCGAGGUAUUAUGCUGGUGGGAAGUGAACUACAUAUGGGGAGAGAAAGCCGAGCUUUAGAGAUUCAAAGAUGACAAAACUGCAGAAAGCACAGGUAUGGAAUGUCAGCAUCGGGAAAGGAACCUCAUUGCCAAAUUGUUGUUGUGUGAUCUACUGUUCUUUUGUAGGUUCUAACUGAAGGUGAGCAAAGAGCCUGGAGGAUGCACUUAUUACACAUAACAUACUACUAAAUUGAAGCUUACAGGUUAACAAGGGCGACUCCUUUAUGGCACCAAGGUGAUGCAAAAUCUUCCCAUAGAGCACCAAACAUUGUUGUUUAGUGCAACUAUGCCUGUAGAAAUUGAAGCCCUUGCACAGGACUACCUAACUGAUCUAGUGCAAGUAAAGGUUGGAAAAGUAAGUAGCCCUACAACAAGUAUAUGUGUAUCAAAUGCUGCAGAAGGUUCCUGAGAAUGAGAAGGUAGCCCUACAGCCGCACCGUUGUGUAUAUGCUUAUGAUUCAAAGAGUGAAAUGACGACAACUCUUUAUGGAUUGGAGUUAUAAACUUAAAGCAAGGGAUGAAGGGGCUGAUUUGUCAUCUGGGAUUAUAAGUUGCCUGCUCCAGUUGUCCUACUUGCAGCAGUAACCUCAUAACUUAGGGAUGAUUUUUCUGUGCAUACGUCCAUCUAAAUACAUAUAUUUUUGUGUUUGAAGAUUAAUUGGAUGAUUCUCUGCUGCAACAAGUUUGGAGCAAAAAGGUUGGAGAACAAGGAAGACAUUAGGUUGCAGUAAGUUUCUAUGUACAUUCUUAGUUAGAUGAAUUUGUGAACAUAGGAAUUUCUACGAACUGAUACUUAGUGUAUAUCCGUUAGUAUUUGAUACUUAACAAAUAAAAUUUGUACUUGGAAGAAUUUAAGUUCCUUUUUGUAUGAAUCCAUGAAUCCAUUUGAUUGUGAUAAGAAAUGAUUGAAAGUGAGAUGAAUUUGAUUGAAGAAAA